rnacentral:lncRNA from 1 species
CAUACCACAUCUAAAUUCUUUUUUAUAAUCCUGCUCGGAAGCCUACUUUCACCUCCUCUUGAGUAUGUUACAACAGUUAUAUACAUGUUAUGAUUGACAAUUUAUAACUUAUGUACUGGCUAACGGAAGAGAUUUAUAAUGAUCAAAACGACCCUGUAAGUAACAUGUACACAAACAACGCAAAUGAAACACAAAUUCGGCAAAAAAGAAAUAAAAAAAAAAUCAGCGCAAAAGAAAUGCAGAUCAGACCUGUGCAAAUGAUGAGUAAUCAAUGAUAGCGUUAAAUUAGAAUUUGAAUGUUAUGGUCCCAUAUCAUGGUUUAAAAGAAUUAGGGACCAAAAACUGGCCAUAAUAAGCAAAACAACGUUUUUCUGGUUUCCGGACAAUAACUUGUGUAAAAGUGUAUUGAUAUCUAUAAAAUUAUACUACAAAUAUUUGCACAACGGAGGGAGGGUU